rnacentral:sRNA from 1 species
GGACACAUCCGGAUUUCAGACCUCGGUUUGGCCACAGAGAUCCCAGAAGGACAGAGGGUUCGAGGAAGAGUUGGAACAGUCGGCUACAUGGCACCUGAAGUUGUCAAUAAUGAAAAGUAUACGUUUAGUCCCGAUUGGUGGGGACUUGGCUGUCUGAUCUAUGAAAUGAUUCAGGGACAUUCUCCAUUCAAAAAAUACAAAGAGAAAGUCAAAUGGGAGGAGGUUGAUCAAAGAAUCAAGAAUGAUACCGAGGAGUAUUCUGAGAAGUUUUCAGAGGAUGCCAAAUCUAUCUGCAGGAUGCCUCAUGCCGUUUACUGUAAGGACGUCCUGGAUAUCGAGCAGUUCUCGGUGGUGAAAGGGAUCUACCUGGACACCGCAGAUGAAGACUUCUAUGCUCGGUUUGCUACCGGGUGUGUCUCCAUCCCCUGGCAGAAUGAGAUGAUCGAAUCUGGGUGUUUCAAAGACAUCAACAAAAGUGAAAGUGAGGAAGCUUUGCCAUUAGAUCUAGACAAGAACAUACAUACCCCGGUUUCCAGACCAAACAGAGGCUUCUUCUAUAGACUCUUCAGAAGAGGGGCAGUUUUAUACAGUCUGAGAGCCACAUGGUGUUAGGUGGAGGCCAGCCAGAACAAUGAGAACACCCUCGCAGUGAGGUUUGUUGCUGGGAUGAAGACUGUUCUGAUCCAAAACAGGACUACCUUCCAGCAUUUACAAACAGGUUCCCGUGUCGCUGACAAAAUAGUUUACACUGGGCUCAGAAAUCGGCAUCCUGUGGAACCUUCGUCAGGUGGCACUCACACGUGCAUCUCUCCCUGCUCUGGCUCUUAGACUC